rnacentral:lncRNA from 1 species
UUUUGGUUCUGAUGUUUGCACCCUAGAGGCUGACUGGGAUCAAAUAUGGGGCAUCUGUAAACAGAAUGAUUCCAUAGCCCCCACUGUGUAAUAAUUUCCUUCCUUCAGAGCCUUACUAGGAUUUGCCUGGGAUGAGGGGUGGAAAGGACAACCCGUUGGCUAUUCUCUUCUCUGGCUUGGCAUAUAUAUAUAUGUGCGGGUCCGAGUGACAAGAACGUUCACGUAUCUUCGGGAG